rnacentral:rRNA from 1 species
UACGUAGGGACCAAGCGUUGUUCGGAUUUACUGGGCGUAAAGGGCGCGUAGGCGGCAUGACAAGUCACUUGUGAAAUCUCCGGGCUUAACUCGGAACGGCCAAGUGAAACUGUCAAGCUAGAGUGCAGAAGGGGCAAUCGGAAUUCUUGGUGUAGCGGUGAAAUGCGUAGAUAUCAAGAGGAACACCUGAGGUGAAGACGGGUUGCUGGGCUGACACUGACGCUGAGGCGCGAAAGCCAGGGGAGCGAACGGG